CAGUCGAGGGGCAGCAUGGUCUUAGCUUGCUAAGACUGAUGGCGACCGGCGCACGGGUGAGUAACACGUAUCCAACCUGCCGUCUACUCUUGGACAGCCUUCUGAAAGGAAGAUUAAUACAAGAUGGCAUCAUGAGUCCGCAUGUUCACAUGAUUAAAGGUAUUCCGGUAGACGAUGGGGAUGCGUUCCAUUAGAUAGUAGGCGGGGUAACGGCCCACCUAGUCUUCGAUGGAUAGGGGUUCUGAGAGGAAGGUCCCCCACAUUGGAACUGAGACACGGUCCAAACUCCUACGGGAGGCAGCAGUGAGGAAUAUUGGUCAAUGGGCGAGAGCCUGAACCAGCCAAGUAGCGUGAAGGAUGACUGCCCUAUGGGUUGUAAACUUCUUUUAUAAAGGAAUAAAGUCGGGUAUGCAUACCCGUUUGCAUGUACUUUAUGAAUAAGGAUCGGCUAACUCCGUGCCAGCAGCCGCGGUAAUACGGAGGAUCCGAGCGUUAUCCGGAUUUAUUGGGUUUAAAGGGAGCGUAGAUGGAUGUUUAAGUCAGUUGUGAAAGUUUGCGGCUCAACCGUAAAAUUGCAGUUGAUACUGGAUAUCUUGAGUGCAGUUGA
rnacentral:rRNA from 1 species